rnacentral:lncRNA from 1 species
UAACCUUCACUGUACCAGUCCCACUCUUCAUCUCUCUUCUCUUCUUUUUCUUCAUGUUUUAUCAUCCAAAUAACAAUCCCGUUCCACCAACAAGCAAAUGGUUCAAUAGAACCAGUGAAACUCGUCGAAAAAAUCACAAAGCUACCACCAUUGAUUAUCUCUGCUAUCUCUCACUGUUUUCCGUCUUUAUUUUUAUAAUCACCAUGAAAACUGGCGAAAUCCACUUAAGAUCUUGACCAAAAAAAUGGCCAAACCACCAUUGCGUUACCCCCUUCCUUCGUUUUCUUCUACUUAUUUUCUUUUUCUUAGUUACAAUUUGUUGGAUCUACCAAAACGGAGAUUUUCCAUUUUUUGAACAUCGUUGUGUAGUCCACUCCGACGACCGCAACUCUGCCAUCAGAAUCACUUGCAUGCCGAAGUUGGUAAACCUCCCAGAAAGAUCCUUAUUAUCUAAUUGCUUACUUUCUAGCUAAAACUUUGAUGGAAAACAACAUCUCAAAUGGGAUGUUCAAGAAAAAAAUAAGAACCCAAUAUUUUUCGGUCAUCCAUUCAAGACCAUCAAGUUGCUACAGAACUUUUAGGCUCACAUUUUGUUGUUCGAAAUUCUUUUUUCUAGAUGUUUAUCAAGCUUAUUAAAGUGAGUGAAUGAGUGAACAAUUUCAGUAAGUGAGUGAACAUGUUUAUCAAGCUUAUUAAAGUAGAUUAGUUAAGUGAUUUAUUCUUUGUUGUUUUAACCAACAUCAGUUGGCAACAAUGUUGAGGCAGAG